rnacentral:rRNA from 1 species
GACGAACGCUGGCGGCGUGCUUAACACAUGCAAGUCGAACGAUGAACCCGGAGCUUGCUCCGGCGGAUUAGUGGCGAACGGGUGAGUAACACGUGAGUAAUCUGCCCUUGACUCUGGAAUAACUGCGGGAAACUGUAGCUAAUACCGGAUACGACACCUUCGGGCAUCCGAUGGGUGUGGAAAGAAUUUCGGUCAAGGAUGAACUCGCGGCCUAUCAGCUAGUUGGUGAGGUAAUGGCUCACCAAGGCGACGACGGGUAGCCGGCCUGAGAGGGUGACCGGCCACACUGGGACUGAGACACGGCCCAGACUCCUACGGGAGGCAGCAGUGGGGAAUAUUGCACAAUGGGCGAAAGCCUGAUGCAGCAACGCCGCGUGAGGGAUGAAGGCCUUCGGGUUGUAAACCUCUUUUAGUUGGGAAGAAGCGAAAGUGACGGUACCAACAGAAAAAGCACUGGCUAACUACGUGCCAGCCGCCGCGGUAA